rnacentral:tRNA from 2 species
GAGCCAUUAGCUCAGUCGGUAGAGCACCUGACUUUUAAUCAGGGUGUCCGGCGUUCGAGUCGCCGAUGGCUCACCA